rnacentral:sRNA from 1 species
CGUAUCCGACACCGACGCCUGCCCCCUCCCCGGCCACGGGCCAAACCCGGUGGUGGUCGGUUCGCCCAAUGU